rnacentral:rRNA from 1 species
UACAGAGGUCUCAAGCGUUGUUCGGAAUCACUGGGCGUAAAGGGUUCGUAGGUGGCUUGCUAAGUCAGACGUGAAAUCCCUCAGCUUAACUGGGGAACUGCGCCUGAUACUGGCGAGCUUGAGUGCAGGAGAGGACGCGGAAUUCCAGGUGUAGCGGUGAAAUGCGUAGAUAUCUGGAGGAACACCAAUAGCGAAGGCAGCUCGCUGGGACGUUACUGACACUGAGGCGCGAAAGCGUGGGGAGCAAACGGG